rnacentral:rRNA from 1 species
GUUAUAGGAUCAAGCGACUAAGUGCAUAUGGUGGAUGCCUUGGCGAUCACAGGCGAUGAAGGACGUAGUAGCCUGCGAAAAGCUGCGGGGAGCUGGCAAACAAGCUUUGAUCCGCAGAUAUCCGAAUGGGGAAACCCACUCCGUAAGGAGUAUCCCUGACUGAAUACAUAGGUCAGUGGAAGCGAACCGGGUGAACUGAAACAUCUCAGUAGCUCGAGGAAAAGAAAUCAACCGAGAUUCCGAAAGUAGUGGCGAGCGAAAUCGGAAGAGCCUUCACGUUUUAGCAUGCAAGAUAGUCGAACGGAAUGGAAAGUCCGGCCGUAGCAGGUGAUAGCCCUGUAGACGAAAUUUUGUGUGUGGAACUAAGCGUGAGAAAAGUAGGGCGGGACACGUGAAAUCCUGUUUGAAGAUGGGGGGACCAUCCUCCAAGGCUAAAUACUCGUGAUCGACCGAUAGUGAACCAGUACCGUGAGGGAAAGGCGAAAAGAACCCCGGAAGGGGAGUGAAAUAGAUCCUGAAACCGUAUGCAUACAAACAGUAGGAGCCUCCUUGUGGGGUGACUGCGUACCUUUUGUAUAAUGGGUCAGCGACUUACAUUCAGUGGCAAGGUUAACCGAAUAGGGAAGCCGUAGCGAAAGCGAGUCCGAAUAGGGCGAUUCAGUCGCUGGGUGUAGACCCGAAACCAGAUGAUCUAUCCAUCGCCAGGUUGAAGGCACGGUAACACGUGCUGAAGGACCGAAC